rnacentral:rRNA from 1 species
AGAGUUUGAUCAUGGCUCAGGAUGAACGCUAGCUACAGGCUUAACACAUGCAAGUCGAGGGGCAGCAUGUUGGUUGCUUGCAACCAACGACGGCGACCGGCGCACGGGUGAGUAACGCGUAUCCAACCUACCCUUGUCCAUCGGAUAACCCGUCGAAAGGCGGCCUAACACGAUAUGCGGUUCACAGCAGGCAUCUAACGUGAACGAAAUGUGAAGGAGAAGGAUGGGGAUGCGUCUGAUUAGCUUGUUGGCGGGGUAACGGCCACCAAGGCUACGAUCAGUAGGGGUUCUGAGAGGAAGGUCCCCCACAUUGGAACUGAGACACGGUCCAAACUCCUGCGGAGGCA